GUGCUUGCUUUAGCAGCACAUAUACUAAAAUUGGAACAAUACAGAGAUAUACAUGGCCCCUGCGCAAGGAUGACACACAAAUUCGUGAAGCAUUCCAUAUUUUU